GUCUAGAGGCUUCGGCAAUGGGGGCAACCCUGACCGAGCGACGCCGCGUGUGGGAUUGAAGGCCUUCGGGUCGUAAACCACUGUCAAGAGGGAAGAAUGCCCGGAUGGCGAAUCCGGGAGGGACGGUACCUCUGGAGGAAGCCCCGGCUAACUCCGUGCCAGCAGCCGCGGUAAUACGGAGGGGGCAAGCGUUGUUCGGAUUUACUGGGCGUAAAGGGUGUGUAGGCGGCCGCGCAAGUCUGGUGUGAAAUCUCCGCCGCUCAACGGGGAGAGGUCACUGGAAACUGCGGGGCUCGAGUGUGGUAGAGGCAAUCGGAAUUCCUGGUGUAGCGGUGGAAUGUGUAGAUAUCAGGAAGAACACCUGUGGCGAAGGCGGAUUGCUGGGCCACCACUGACGCUGAGACACGAAAGCGUGGGGAGCAAACGGGAUUAGAAACCCCAGUAGUCC
rnacentral:rRNA from 1 species